rnacentral:tmRNA from 1 species
GGGGCCGACUUGGAUUUGACAGCAUCUGAUUUGGAAUGUAAGCAUGCCGAGUAACGUACACACACUCGUAAAUCAGAGGUACAUACAGAAUAAUUGACAACAAUAAUUCUUACGCGUUAGCUGCGUAAUUAAACCAAGUUUAAUUACCUUAAUUCCCCCCAAGUAUAGUAAGGGGAACUGACUGUCCUCGAGGACGCCCGCCUAAAGUGGACUCGAUCAAGGGCAUUAAAAUUUUGGGAUAGUUCAAUGGGAGUCUCGACUAUUGGAUAAAAUUAAGAGAAGUAGGGUAAAGGUAGGGUGUUUGUGUCCAGUCUUUAUCUGAAAUUAAAUCACAGAAUAAGCACGUAGAAAUCAUUUUAACUCUUUGUUUGGACGCGGGUUCGAUACCCGCCGGCUCCACAA